rnacentral:rRNA from 1 species
CAAGCGUUGUUCGGAUUUACUGGGCGUAAAGGGCGCGUAGGCGGCGCAACAAGUCACUUGUGAAAUCUCCGGGCUUAACCCGGAGCGGCCAAGUGAUACUGUCGUGCUAGAGUGCGGAAGGGGCUACUGGAAUUCUCGGUGUAGCGGUGAAAUGCGUAGAUAUCGAGAGGAACACCUGCGGCGAAGGCGGGUAGCUGGGCCGACACUGACGCUGAGGCGCGAAAGCCAGGGGAGCGAACGGG